GACUCUCGGCAACGGAUAUCUCGGCUCUCGCAUCGAUGAAGAACGUAGUAAAAUGUGAUACUUGGUGUGAAUUACAGAAUCCCGUGAACCAUCGAGUCUUUGAACGCAAGUUGCACCCCAAGCCUUCUGGCCGAGGGCACGUCUGCCUGGGUGUCA
rnacentral:rRNA from 1 species